rnacentral:rRNA from 1 species
AGGACGAACGCUGGCGGCGUGCUUAACACAUGCAAGUCGAGCGGUAAGGCCUUUCGGGGUACACGAGCGGCGAACGGGUGAGUAACACGUGGGUGAUCUGCCCUGCACUCUGGGAUAAGCCUGGGAAACUGGGUCUAAUACCGGAUAUGACCUGCUCUCGCAUGGGGGGUGGGUGGAAAGAUUUAUCGGUGCAGGAUGGGCCCGCGGCCUAUCAGCUUGUUGGUGGGGUAAUGGCCUACCAAGGCGACGACGGGUAGCCGACCUGAGAGGGUGACCGGCCACACUGGGACUGAGACACGGCCCAGACUCCUACGGGAGGCAGCAGUGGGAAUAUGCACAAUGGGCAAAGCCUGAUGCAGCGACGCCGCGUGAGGAUGAAGGCCUUCGGGUUGUAAACCUCUUUCAGCAGGACGAAGCGCAAGUGACGGUACCUGCAGAAGAAGCACCGGCUAACUACGUGACCAGCAGUCCG